rnacentral:lncRNA from 1 species
CUGAAUUGCUUUUGGAAUAAAAUUAUUGACUAUGUCCAUAAGAUUCUUUCUCACAUAAAGCAAUUGCAAUUGUUUCCAUUUAGCAUGGUGACAUGGUUGUGCGAUUUAUACACUUGGUUUGUCCUAUCCAAGGUAUACAUUCAGUCUAGCGUGGGACAGUGAUGGAGAUAAGAAACAAUCGCCAGUCUAUCUUCAUUUUCCUUGCCUUCUCUUGCUAGGUGGAAAGUGAGUGAUUUGGAUUCUUUAUAUUUAGUAUAGACAAUCUUACCCUUCUCUCAAACCAUGAUGGAAUUUCACAUAGAGCCCUAACCUUAGCCAUACAUAAAGCACCAACAAGAUCAGUUAGAAGCUCAAGCAGUAAAGAGGCCCGCACAGAAGAGGGAGAGGCCCUGUUUUUCAGACAUAAAGUUUUGGUCCCCUGUCUUGGCUACAAGCUCAGGAUUUCAGUCUUCAGCUAUAAGAACAUUCGAACAGAGCAUAACAUUCAACAAUUAUACUAAGGCUACACAAAGAAGAAAGACUCGAAAAACACAACAACACUCGAAAGAUUUCGAAAACGGAGUAUUCUUCUUAUUGAUAGAACUUCUUUAACCAAUCGCCAUUUACAAUGCCCGGAAGGGGUUGCCCAUCGAAGGUUCGGAGUUUGUAUACACUAUUGGUAAACGCCUC